UCGGGGGCAUCAGUAUUCAAUUGUCAGAGGUGAAAUUCUUGGAUUUAUUGAAGACUAACUACUGCGAAAGCAUUUGCCAAGGAUGUUUUCAUUAAUCAGGAACGAAAGUUAGGGGAUCGAAGACGAUCAGAUACCGUCGUAGUCUUAACCAUAAACUAUGCCGACUAGGGAUCGGACGAUGUUAUUUUUUGACUCGUUCGGCACCUUACGAGAAAUCAAAGUGCUUGGGCUCCAGGGGGAGUAUGGUCGCAAGGCUGAAACUUAAAGAAAUUGACGGAAGGGCACCACCAGGGGUGGAGCCUGCGGCUUAAUUUGACUC
rnacentral:rRNA from 1 species